UAGGUACUCCCUCCGUCCGGAAAUAUUUAUUCUCAAAAUGGAUAAGUUGGAUGUAUCUAUAACUAAAUAAGUCUAGAUACAUCCAUUUCUAGGAAAAGUAUUUUCGGACGGAGGGAGUAUUAA
rnacentral:pre_miRNA from 1 species